CAUGACUUUUGCCAUGUUCUACUCAUUAGAAACAAGUCAAACAGUCCAGCCCACCCUCAAAGGAAAGAGGUUACAAAAAGGUGUGACUAUCAAGAAGUUGAAAUCAUUGGAGCCAUUUCAGAGGCUUCCAGUCACCUACCACAUGCCCCAAGUUAAAACUACACCCUCAAGACCCUGAGGUGAAAUAAUUCUAGAGUUAAGUUUAUUAUUCUUCCAUUUUUUAAAAACACCUUUUCAUUGUAAAGCAAAAAGGAUUAUUCAUUCAAAAAUUAUAGUUUGCAGCUUGUCUGGUAUUUUUGAAGCCAUUGUGCAAAGUGGACACAUAUCCCAGAGGGAUAGCGCUGUGAUUCUGCCAUCCGUCUCUCCUUCCCCUCAGAGCAUGCUAAUUUCAGGUUUGAUUUUUUUUUUUUUUUUUUUUUUUUUGGCAUCUGAACCAAAAGUCUUGCCUUCCAGACAGCACAAGUGAAUGACACUGCCUGCAUGUCAGAAAUUGCUACUGACAUUUCAAUUUUGCUUGAUUUUUUUUCUUUCUUUGAUAGUAUUACGGAGAAAAUUUACAUUUGAAUAAAAAGCAAAUAGUGCAUGUCAGAGUAAGCAUCAGGGAAUGUCAAAUUGUUUUUUUCCAAUUACAACUCUAUUUCAAAUAGGGUAAUGCAAUUAAAGGAUAAUUACUAGAAGCACAAAGCCAAGGUUACGAUCAGAAAUGGUUACCCUUUCACUUUAAGUCCUGUCUUCCUAAAUAAAAUAUUCCUGAGGGGCAAGUUACUGUUUGAAUAUAGAGUACACACAUCCAGGAACAACCAAACACUUGGCAGUGUUGACCAAAACAUGUUUUUGUGCAUAAAUACAAGUGUUUAAAAGAGAUGAAAAGACACUAAAGGUGAGCCACAGUUUCCUUGGCUUUAUCACUCUGAUUAAUAAUGUGAUAAAUUAGCUGUAGGAUGCAAUAUUAAUUAACAGUAUAUUAGUUGCAUUUUAUUGCCAAUAACAUAACAAGCUCUGAAAUAGUAGUCAGACUAAACUGCUGACGUGGGCUUUUCUGCAAACUGAGCUGUAGUUUGAUUUCUCAUUUGUCCAAGUGAAGCAUCAGCAACUGAGUAAAACCAAUUACCUCAAAACUCACCAAGCCCUCGGCAGCAACUUAGUGCAUCUGAGCUUUGCCCAAAUGUUAUUACUUUCAAAUUAAAGCCUGGUCUGAGAUGGGGCACUGAAGAAUUUCUACUGCUGAAAAUAAUUCAAUAUGGCAAUCUAGUUGUGUAACACAUUGCAGAGCCAAAUAGAAAGCAAAGUCUCCCUUCAACCUCUAGGCAUCUUAAAUCCAUAGCUGUCCCAUUCUGGAAGGCAAGCUAGAGAUACAGAAGUCAGACAUGAGAAGAGAGGCAUUUUCCUUAUUCCCACAAGUGAAAAUGUCAUAGGAAAAUAGUGUUCUUUUUUUUUUUUUUGACCACGCCCAUGGCAUGUGGCAGUUCCUGUGCCAGGGAUCAAACCUGUACCAGAGCAGUGACCUGAGCCACAGCAGUGACACUGCUGGAUCGAUCCUUAACCUACUGAGCUACCAGGGAAGUCUGAAAAUAGUGUUCACUUUUGAGGUGAAGUCCUGGUUUUGGGUGGAGGGAACUUGAAGAAAAAGAAUGCAAGUCAUAAGGAGGUAAUGGUGUUAUUACUUAUUAUUUUGUUUAAUUAAAUAUUGGAAGUUACUUCACUAUAUAGUAAGAAACUCUAGCACAAAAGAACCCAAGAACCCAUUCACUGAACUUACAUUUACCAAAUGCCCAGUGUCUAAGUGCAAAGGAUUAAAAAAUGAUGAUAAUUCCCAACUAUCAUUCAUUGAUGCUUCCUAUGUGCCCUCAAUGAGCUAAAAACUUUACCUAUAAUAUCUCAUUUAAUCUCACAACAAUUCUGCAAAGUAUGUGUUUCUAGUAUCUUUCCCACCCCCUCUGCCCCCCCUCCAGACAGGAUGUAGAUGGCUCAAAGAGCUUGGCUCACUUAAUGCUGCACACCUAGAAAGUGGUGUGCCACUCUGAAUUAAAUGAAGUGUGCCACUCUUAUCCUAGGCAUUGUUGUAUUCAAAAUACCCUCUCUGAGAACCUCAGAGUCUCAGGAUUGGCUUUGAAGUAUCUUUGUCUUCAAGGGUCAUCAUUGCCUUGCAUGGCCAGAGGAAGAAUCUAGUAACGAACCUUAGAGAAUUGGAGAUGGGACAUAUGCCAUCCUGGGAACUUCAGGAAUGUCCUCCCUCCUGGCAGGAUCUGGUAUUCUGUGCUUUUUUGCCUGUGGGUGAGGUCAGAUUCUACUAGGGUUCAUGAGAGCAGCAUGUAUUCUCACAGCCCUAGUUCCAGGUUAUGUGAGCCCAGCAGCUGUCAGGGAUCCGAUUUACUUUUAAUAAAUCUAACAAAUGAACAAUAAAUAAGUGAUGAGCCUUCUGCCUCAGAGAAUCCAGCAAGGGCAAGACCCAGCCAGGUGCAUGGAAAACCAAACUCUUUCCUCGCAUUCAUAACUGAAUUCUAAACAGCCAACACCAAACUGCAGUCAGUUCAGACCACAGAGUUUCUGUGUAUUUUACAGGUUACAAAACUAUUCCUUACUCUGGUCCUCUGGAAUCAAAGAAAGUUCCUCAGUGUAUUCAUUCCAUGAAUUAAAAAAAAAAAUAAAAAAGGUCUCCCUCAGUUAUCGUGUUAUUCAUGUCCUUUGACCAGAAAGAGUUAGAGAAAAACUUCAGGAUUGAUCUGAGGGACACAGAGCCCAGGUUCCAUUAAAGUGUAUUAAUGCCAAGGUCUUUGCAAUUAGUGAAAAGUCAAUUCCCAUUACUAGUUAACACUAUUGAAUAUCUGCUUUCUUUAAUAAAAAGCCAUGUCCAGUAUGAAGAGAAUAAAUCAAUAGGUUGGCUGCAUUUAGAUCUAUUCUGCCUUCUUUUAAAAUGCACAGAGAAACUCCCCGUCAGAGCUCCACUGUCUGUCUGCCAAACUCAGCCUGUGAGCUGGCAGCUGGCCCCAACGUCUUUGCCUGGAACCUUUCAUUAGCUUUCUCUUGUCUUAGGUCUCAUUUCUCUAAUCAGAAAAUUUCAGUUUUACCCUAUGCCUAAAUAUCCUCUCUUUGAGCUUGAUCUUGAUCUGUCUCUGAAUUGGACCUGUUUAGAAAACAAGCCGUGAAGCAGCCAUGGACAUAUCUCUAAACCCCAGUGUUGGCUAGCAUCUGGCCUCCCCCAGGCUGGGAGAAAGUGGGGGGAUACAACCUCUUCUAAGGGGCCAAGGAAUUUCCUAGGGCAUGAAAGAGUUUGCCCUUCAGAUACCCCCGUUCGGUUAUUUUACAGCUGGUUAACCUUGUUGCCGCCAAUUUUGGAGGCAGCUGGAAUGUUUCAGAUGCUCAAUUGUGAAGAGCAAAAAAAGGAUACAUCUGUCUCUGAAAGUCCCCUCUUGGUCCUCAGCACCUUCCCAGAGGAAGGACACUUCCCCUCCCUGCCAUGGAGGCUGCUUCUCUGUAGCUGAGCUGGGCUAGUCAUCUUCUCUUGAGUGGACCUCAAGAAAGAGAAGGCUGUUUAGACACUACUUUCAUUAUAAGGCUUGAUGUAUUACAGAUUAAAAAGAACACUUUGAAGUCCUCUGUCUCUCAGGUACUUGCUGUUUAUCUGGAAGUAACUCUUCAGUUGGGAUUCUGUGUUUCUAUUCAAGUGAAUUAUGUUUCCCCAAGUCAUUUCCUUUCAUUUGCCAGAAUGCUCAGGCUUUGAUUAUGGAAAAGGAGGAUUGACAUCACUUUGCUUUAGUUCAAGUUCACUAUGCAGAAUUAUUUGGUGUUCUUUUCUUAAUCCUUUGGUCCUUAUUUUUAUCCACUGGUCCUUAUUCACUGGUCGAAUCUUCAGUACCCUCUCUUCCUUUCCAGAGUAUGUGUUUGGUGGAUGGGUAGGCUUGAUGGUGAUAUUGGUUUGGGUCAGGGGUUCAGUGGCAGAAAAUACUUGAAUUCCAUACCUUUCCAGAUUCAGCAAAUUAGUAUAGAUCUUUUCUGGGGUUUUCAACUGGUGCACGUUUAAUAUUUCUCCAUCCAAGAAGGUAGACAUAUCUAAUGAAGCGAGAGCUGGCUCUGCACACAUCUGCUUCUUCCUAUUGCAGGAAUCCUUUCACACCACUUGCCAUACGCCCAUUCCUGGGGCGAAGGUGUGGUCGUCGGACAUGGUAGAGGAUCAUAAACCAGGCCCAUCACUGUGAAACCCAAGAAUGAUCCCACUCUUGUUGCAGAUGCUUCCUAAAGCCUCUGAAAUCAUCCAUGGUGAUCAGAGAACUCAGGGUGGAGAUUUGCUGUGUCACUUCUCAAGUUGCUCUGUGAAGUGAUCACAACUGAAGCAAGCAGUGGGAAUUGAAACUAUCCUAACACAAAGGUGAGAAGGGUUCAAUGGUGAGGAGGCAUUGAUGGCUACACCAACACCCAGUUUGUCUUACAUUCAAGGCUAUAGAUUUUGCAAAGGCAGGUUCAUUGGGUGACAGGAGGAGACUUAAAAGUCAUCAGAUGGGCUGGCUGAAUGCUCCAAAAGGCUGGGACACCUCUGCUGAUGGGACACUGACUAAAGAAUAAGAGGCUGGAUCAAGGGGCCACACAUCUUCAUCACCUCACAUGGAUGAAGGCUGCCCACUCGGCCAGAGGCAUUGACUGAAUUCCCACUUGGGGAUGGAGCUCACAAAGUGAUGGGCUGGCAUUGUCAAGAAAUUAAUCCAAGAUGAAAUAUGAUAAUGAAUGUUGGGAAAUGAAUAAAUGCAGUCCCAAGCAAUCCGCCUGUGUGACCGUUUAUACAGAAAAACUGCCUUUUAAAGGGUUAGCAGUUGUCUUCGGUCCUUUAGCAAAUCCUGCUGUGAUAACUCUGAAAUGAAUAGCAGGAGGCAGAAUUGGAAACAAUUUCAUUUUUAUAAAAUAUAGAAUGAUGUUUUAAAAGUUUGAAAUCAGAGUUCCCUGGUGGCCUAGCCGUUAAGGACUCAGCAUUGUCACUGCUGUGGCUCAGGUUUGAUCCCUGGCCCCAGGAACAUCCAUGUGCGAGG
rnacentral:tRNA from 1 species